UUGUAGGGUUCUGGUUUUGGGGCCUGCAUUUCCCCUUUGUGAGCUAUUCCAGGCAGCUGGCAAGGCAAGCUCGGUGCUGACCUUCUGCUGAGAUCCCUGCUGGAAUUCCAGAGGGACCAGCCAGGCCUGCAGGGCCCAAUCCUGCCAGGAUGGAGCUCCCAAAAUAACUGCUGGGCAGGGCUGUGCUCCAGGGCAGGGAGAUCCCUGGAGCAUUCCCAGGGCAGCUCCCCCAGGCUGGUGAGACUCUGGAGAGGGCACAGCACCACGGGCACCUGAAAAACACUGUGGGCACCAGCCUGAAACUGCUGUGGGAGGGACAAUGGCUCACAAACCCUCUGGGGCUGGAGCCAGCCCACUCUGCCAUGGGUAAAUCAGGCCCAGUUCCCUCUCAGGUGUAAAGGGGGAGAGGAGUCCAGAAAACCUCACAGUUCUCCACCCCCAUCCUUCUAAAGAAGCUUCAGAGCUCCCUGUUCCCACUGUCACCGUCAGGGACUGCCAGCUGCAGAACUGCCAGGAAAUCUUCAGGUUUGAAAUUGUCCAGUGGCCUUGGUAAAGUUGGCAAAUCUGUGGAGCUGGAGAAGAUUUCACUGAGCAGCAGCUGCAGAGGAAACUCUCUGAGGCAGGGGUUGCCUGCCACUUCUUUCCUUUCUGGAGAAUAAAGUUACCAUAACUCCAGGUUUGCCAAGCUUUAACUGCUUGGAAGAAGUUUCCUGUCCUGGGUGUUGCUUCAAGCUGAUUUUUUUAUUCUUUAAACCUCCCCUAGCUUUUUUUUCCUUCUGUUUUAAGUGGAAGGAACAAGGAGAAUUUGGGGUUUUUUUUUUGGAAGGGUAAUAUUUUGGUCAGGGAAAUUUAUAAGCAACUUCAAGUUUCAAAGGCUGAAAACAGCAGCUAAAAAAUAUUUCUUGCUUAAAUUGUCACAAGAAAGAACUUUUUGUUGUCUUUUUUAUGUUGCUUUUCAAGGCAGUGAAAAUGAUAUGUAAUAAAUUAU